AACGAACGCUGGCGGCAGGCUUAACACAUGCAAGUCGAACGCACCUUUCGGGGUGAGUGGCAGACGGGUGAGUAACGCGUGGGAAUCUACCCUUCUCUACGGGAUAGCUCCGGGAAACUGGAAUUAAUACCGUAUACGUCCUGAGGGAGAAAGAUUUAUCGGGGAAGGAUGAGCCCGCGUUGGAUUAGCUAGUUGGUGGGGUAAAGGCCUACCAAGGCGACGAUCCAUAGCUGGUCUAAGAGGAUGAUCAGCCACAUUGGGACUGAGACACGGCCCAAACUCCUACGGGAGGCAGCAGUGGGGAAUAUUGGACAAUGGGCGCAAACCUGAUCCAGCCAUGCCGCGUGAGUGAUGAAGGCCCUAGGGUUGUAAAGCUCUUUCAGUGGGGACGAUAAUGACGGUACCCACAGAAGAAGCCCCGGCUAACUUCGUG
rnacentral:rRNA from 1 species